CAAAGCCUACUGUGACUAGACCUUUCCGGCGUUCCUAGACUGCCUUCCUUCCUCCUGUACUUCUGCCUGUUGGGUCGACUCUGGAUUUCUAGUCUCUGGACGGGAUUGUGGACACGUUCUGUUGGACUCCCCUACUGGUACUUCUGCAUCUGUAUGACCCUGAACUGUCUCUGGAUCGCCUCCCCCGCAGCUAGCCGAAAAAUGAAACCUGCUUCUGCUGGCAGAAUUAUCUGCAAACCUCUCCGGGAACCACUCAUUGGAUUCAGUGCUGCGCUCCGGAUCUAAACACGCGGUUCCAGCAGCAGUCCCAGAAGUUUCCCUCAUGGGCUACACCUGUUCCUUCUAAUAAAACGCUUCCUCUGUGUCAGUCAAAUUUUCAGGUCCAAAACUUUUACAGAUGAAUGUGUUUAAGUUGGAAAUAACUUCAUUCCGAGAACUGACUUCUUAGCAGAAGUGGCUAAUGGGAAUACAAACGGAUUCCAAUGCAUUUCACAGAACACUAAAAUAAAACAUAUGUAACAUGACACCGUGUGUCACUAAUUCAAUGGAAAACAUUGCCACAAUGUUAAUUGUUUAUUACACAACUUUGGUUAUGUUCUAUUCGAGCAGCAGCCAAAUUGGAUUUUGGAGUUGGCAAGACUCCUUCAGCUUUCCUAGAUGGAGCUUUCAACUUCAGGGGACGUUCCAGUGACUUUUUCAGACUUGGAACUCAGAAACACCAA